rnacentral:lncRNA from 10 species
CCUUUCACCUCCUGCCAUGAUUCUGAGGCCUUCCCAGCCAUUGGAACUGUAAGUCCAAUUAAACCUCUUUUUCUUCCCCGUCUCGGAUAUAUCUUUAUCAGCAGUGUGAAAACAGACUAAUACAACCAUCUUGCUGGAUCUCAGUUUCUAACUUUAGGGGAGUUGUCUUUUCUCUCUGAGUCUCAAAGCACCGACAGGUAAAGGAGGGAACAUAAUGUUUAUUCAAUAGGUUAAGGUGAAGGUUGGGAUAAUAUAUUUAAGAAAUACUAAACACAAUGCUCAUUUCCUUGUAGUUCAUCUGUAAAUUGAUGAAUGAAUGCUUGGCAUAGACUGAUGAGAAAAAAAAUACCCCAGGACUUGGUUCAAGCCUUCCUGGGACUUACAUGUAAUGGGGAACUAAAAUCCAGAGAGAUGAAAUAAUCUAAGUUUCUACAGCUAACAAGUCACAAGGAUUUCCCUGACUUCAAAGUCCAUCUUUUCUUCACUCCAACAUGCUGCCUUAUAAACCUAAUUCUUUUCUGAUGGAAUUGUUUGAUGUUUUUGUUGACUGUGGGGGAUAUUAGAUGUAGCAGAUAUUUAUUAUUUUUUGGUACGUCAGCACUCAACCUUGAUCUCUCCUUGGGAGCAGUUUGCCAUUGCAAGCCCUCCUGGGUGGGAGCUAUUCCCGCAAAUUCUUUUCCCCCAUUGGGCUCUGCCUAAGGAAUACAGCAACCAGGCAGAAGACAGCAGUUACACAAAACAUUCUGAAAUUCAUUCCAGUUGGUUUCUGUGAUCCCAUGCCUAGAAAAUGUACACAAUUCACUGAGCAACAUAGCUCGCCCUAGGCCCUUGUACUUGGUGGAAGUCAGCCUUUGUAUUUCUCUCGAAGUGGUUUAAUUCUUAGUGGAUGAACUAUCAGUGUAUAAUUGGGAGUAGGUGCCAGAGUGUUUCUAUCUAAAGAAGCCCAAACUGUUGUGAGAUCUUCAGUUUCCAGGGUUAGAUCAAUGCAGCUUGACUCAGCUCAGUGGAGCCUAGCACAAUUUAGCACAAUUAAAUUCAGCUCGGUGGACCUCAGCUCAUGUUACCUUAGCUGGCCAGGCUCAGCUCAACUCAGCUCAGAGCUCACAUCAGCUCAGCUUAGCCCAACAUGCUGUCUUUAACACCGCCCAGUUUGGCUCAAUUCAACACCGCCCAACGGUACUCACCUUACUCAGUUCAACCCUACUCAACCUAAUGGAGCUCAGUUGGCCACAGCUUUGUUCAGUCAAUCACAGAGGCAUUUAUUGAGCACCAAAGCUGGACACUCUGAAGGCUGUUUCAUCCAGGAACUCAUAAUUUAGUCACUGAAACAGUUUGCAUAUAAGGAAGAAUGUUUAUAGUAAUCCAUAAGCGAAGACUAUGAAAGCUGGAUGGAAGAGACAUCUACUCAUCACUGAAGAUGUUGAGAAAGCUUCUUGAAAGUCACGUUAUUUCAGGUAAAAUUUAAUUUUGACUAAUGAUGAAGAGCUGGGGCAAGAAGGCAGUGCAGAAAGAGGAAAUAUCCUGGUAUUAGGUUGGAGCAAAAGUAAUUGCGGUGGUUUUUGCCAUCACUUUCAAUGGCAAAAACUGCCGCAAUUACUUUUACAUCAAUCCAGUUAAUGCCUGGAAGUGGUGGAGUAAAUGGAAUGACUGGGGAGUGGGUGUAGAGUGAGUGUCACAGGAGAAAACACUCAAAGGCGGGAAGGGGUGAGAUUCAAGGCAGCUCUGAGUGGCAUGCUCAGGAGUUUGGACUUUUUCUGUCAGAAUAGUAAUCUACUAGGCAAUUUCAUUUUAUUCUUACAAAAAUCCUGGGAACCAUUUAGGUUAGGGAUGCUAAUUCCCAUUUUACAGAUGAAGAAAUGGAGGCUUAGAGAAGAAGUUAAUGCCUGUCCAGGUAGAGGAUAGUCGAGUUGGAAAUUAAACCACUUGGAGAGAGCAGUAUCCUUUUUAUUUUUAUAUCCUUGGGCCUACAGCUGGUAUUCAAGAGCUGGAGUAGGGUGUGAUUCAAGCUAUAUUUUCAUACCGUAGAUUUCCAGAGAGCAGAGGAGGGAUAGGAAGUGGUUGACACAGGAAUAUAGUUAGAAGAGAAUGAGAAGAGAAUGAGUAUCUGGCAAAAGGUAGGUGCCUCAGGGAUUACGGAGGGUAAGUGUUUGCUAAACACAUGUCUUCAAGUUCUCACAAAGUGUCUUGCAGUAUCUAGACCUCAUUUAAUUGAGUUCUAAGAUCAUGGUCUCAGUUUUCCAAGC